AACGAACGCUGGCGGCAUGCCUAACACAUGCAAGUCGAACGAGACCUUCGGGUCUAGUGGCGCACGGGGGCGUAACGCGUGGGAACCUGCCCUUAGGUUCGGAAUAACUCCCCGAAAGGGGUGCUAAUACCGGAUAAUGUCUUCGGACCAAAGAUUUAUCGCCUUUGGAUGGGCCCGCGUUGGAUUAGCUAGUUGGUAGGGUAAAAGCCUACCAAGGCGACGAUCCAUAGCUGGUCUGAGAGGAUGAUCAGCCACACUGGGACUGAGACACGGCCCAGACUCCGACGGGAGGCAGCAGUGGGGAAUAUUGGACAAUGGGCGAAAGCCUGAUCCAGCAAUGCCGCGUGAGUGAUGAAGGCCUUAGGGUUGUAAAGCUCUUUUACCCGGGAUGAUAAUGACAGUACCGGGAGAAUAAGCUCCGGCUAACUCCGUG
rnacentral:rRNA from 1 species